GGUCCAAGAGGAUGAUCAGCCACACUGGGACUGAGACACGGCCCAGACUCCUAUGGGAGGCAGCAGUGGGGAAUUUUCCACAAUAGGCGAAAUCCUGACGGAGCAAUGUCGCGUGAAGGCAGAAGGCCCACGGGUCAUGAACUUCUUUUCUCAGAGAAGAAACAAUGAUGGUAUCUGAGGAAUAAGCAUCAGCUAACUCUGUGCCAGCAGCCGCGGUAAGACAGAGGAUGCAAGCAUUAUCCGGAAUGAUUGGGCAUAAAGUGUAUGUAGGUGGCUUUUCAAGUCUGCCACCAAAUCCCAGGGCUCAACCCUGGACAUGCGGUGGAAACUACCAAGCUGGAGUAUGGUAGGGGCAGAGGGAAUUUUCGGUGGAGCAGUGAAAUGCAUUGAGAUCAGAAAGAACACCAACGACGAAAGCACUCUACUGGGCCGACAUUGACACUGAGAGAUGAAAGCUAGGGGAGAAAAUGGGAUUAGAUACCCCAGUAGUCCUAGCCGUAAAUGAUGGAUACUAAGUGCUGUGCGUAUCGACCCAUGCAGUGCUAUAGCUAACACGUUAAGUAUCCCACCUGGGGAGUACAUUCGCAAGAAUGAAACUCAAAGGAAUUGAUGGGGGCCCGCACAAGAGGUGGAGCAUGUGGUUCAAUUCGAUGCAAAGCGAAGAACCUUACCAAGGCUUGACAUGCUGUGAAUCCUCUCGAAAGAGAGGAGUGCCUUCGGGAACAUGGACACAGGUGGUGCAUGGCUGUCAUCAUCUCGUGCCGUAAGGUGUUCGGUUAAGUUCUGCAACGAGCGCAACCCUCGUGUUUAGUUGCCAGCAUUGAGUUUGGAACCCUGAACAGAUUUCCGGUGAUAAGUCGGAGGAAGGUGAGGAUGACGUCAAGUCAUCAUGCCCCUUACGCCCUGGGUGACACACGUGCUACAAUGAUUGGGACAAAGGGUCGCGACCCUGCGAGGGCAAGCUAACCUCAAAAACCUGGCCUCAGUUCAUAUUUCAGGCUGCAACUCGCCUGCAUGAAGCCGGAAUCGCUAGUAAUCGUCGAUCAGCCAUACGACGGUGAAUCCAUUCCAGGGCCUUGUACACACCACCCGUCACACUAUGGGAGCUGGCCAUGCCCCAAUUCGUUACCUUAACCGCAAGGAGGGGGAUGCUGAAGGCU
rnacentral:ncRNA from 2 species